UAAGUUAUAGUUUACAAAAAACAUUUAUUUUGCAAAUAAAAGAUAUACUAACUUAUACUAGUAAUA
rnacentral:tRNA from 1 species